UACGGAGGGAGCUAGCGUUGUUCGGAAUUACUGGGCGUAAAGCGCACGUAGGCGGCUAUUCAAGUCGGGGGUGAAAGCCCGGGGCUCAACCCCGGAACUGCCCUCGAAACUAGGUAGCUAGAAUCUUGGAGAGGUCAGUGGAAUUCCGAGUGUAGAGGUGAAAUUCGUAGAUAUUCGGAAGAACACCAGUGGCGAAGGCGACUGACUGGACAUGUAUUGACGCUGAGGUGCGAAAGCGUGGGGAGCAAACAGG
rnacentral:rRNA from 1 species